GACGUAGGGGGCGAGCGUUGUCCGGAUUUAUUGGGCGUAAAGCGUGCGUAGGCGGCUGCGCAAGUCGGGUGUGAAACCCCGGGGCUCAACCCCGGAACUGCAUCCGAUACUGCGUGGCUAGAGGUAGGUAGGGGAGAUCGGAAUUCCUGGUGUAGCGGUGAAAUGCGUAGAUAUCGGAAGGAACAUCAGUGGCGAAGGCGGCUUCCUGGACCAAUACUGACGAUCAGGUGCGAAAGCGUGGGGAGCAAACAGG
rnacentral:rRNA from 1 species